GCGCUGGUCGAAGUCCUGGCCGUGGAUGAUCCGCAUCUGCUUCAGGAAGGUGGACUUGCCGCUCUCGCCCGCGCCCAGCAGCAGGAUCUUCACCAGCCGCUUCACCCUCCAUAAAGACAUCCCUGAGCUGCCACUGACCAGCUGAAACCUCAGCUCAUCCUCAGUCAGAGGUUCAGAGACACGCAUCGGUGACCCCAGACACACCUUGCUCUGAAGCGUCAGACCCAUUACAGGCUGUUGGUUUAUACAGCACUACACGAAGCCCUGCCCGCACACACACAUUCCUUGAUGUGCAUGCAGAGGCCAGAGCAGGAUGUUGAGGCAAGGUCUCUCAUUGAAGCAGAUGUUCCCCAUUUCAGGGACAGCAUCAGGAGAUGGCUAGAGUGGAGCCUCUGAGCCAUGACCAACUGGAAGCCUCUCUUGCCUGGAGUGAGAGGUACUGCGGGCUGGGAGGAUGCCCCUUUCCCAGAGGCCAGACUAGACUUCACCAUCUUCCAAGUUCCCAGGCUCUCAGGGUGGAUCUCAGCCCAGUUACUCCAUCUCAGUCAUUCACUAGCUGGUCCUCAGCUUGGAGCUGUUCGUACCCUUCCCACGGGAGCCCGGGGAGUCUCUGGUUAUCCCCACCCUUCCCAAGGCCACCCUGGGCAGGGAGCCAAAAAAUCAAUUUAUGGAAAAAAAAAAGCAGAGGCUGAAUAUAAAUUAUUUUUUAACUCACCUCCAGUUAUCUGAUCACCCGGGACGUCUGCUCAGUGAAGAAAUCCUAAGAGUUAAACACACUUCAAGAAGAGAUGGCUUCACGGCUUUGCGGGUGUGGGGGUGGGGUGGGGUGCAGCCAGAGGUAGGGUGUGAACCCGGAGGACUCCCUCCUCUGCUGAGCCACAGGUGUAGUAGUGAGAAUAGGAGAUGGCUGGGGAUGCACAGCUCAGUGACAGAGUACAUGCCUAGCAUGUGGCAGACCCUGGGUGUGAUUCCCCAGCAAAGGGACAGGUCAAGAGGUGGGGCUCUAAGAGCAAAGUACUUAAGAAUUUAGAAAGAAUAACAAAUACUGUCCUGGCUUUCUAAGAAGUGAGUGGAUCACGGGACUCCCAACUCAUUUGUUUUAAACAGUCGAGGAGCUGGGGUUGGGGAAGGCUUUCAGCCCCUCCCGGGACAGACAGAUAUCAGGGUUAAUUUGCCAGGGGAAACACAGCAAGUUCCCAAGGGAAGGCUAAAACCAAGCACCUUCAACUUGUUUCCAGAAAGAUUUGUUUCUCUAUGCCCUAUGGAGAAUGAUGAAAUCUCAGUCAAUAGGGAACUUUGUUAAUAACCAGGAACUAUGUGAUGUUUCUGAAAAGCUUUCCUGCGAGAGCCUAGUGUGAUCUUCUCAGAAAAUAAUAACACGUCCUUACAGAGAAGUUUCUAUUCACAAAUUGCUCUCUUGGUUAAUCUUUUUUUUCUUUUCAGCGGUUCCAGCCACUGUGUUUGUGUGUGUGUGUGUGUGUAUGUACAUGUGUGUGUUGCUUUUUAUAUAUAGUAUAUAAUAUAUAUUAUGUUAUGUAUGUUAUUAUAACAUUUAUUUAACCUAUAUAUUGUUUUUUAAAAGAUAUUUACUUGUUUUUACUUAUACAUGCAUGUGUUGCUUUAAUAUAUAUUAUAUGUUAUGUAUAGUAUAACAUUUAUUUAACAUAUAUUGUUUAUUUUCUAAAUAUUUACUUAUUGCUUUUGCGUGUGUGUGUGUGUGUGUGUGUGUGUGUGUGUGUGUGUGCAUGAUUCUAUGUGCCCACAUGUAUGCAGGUACCUAUAGAGACCAAAGCUCCUGUUGUUUAGGGUUUUUAUUGCUUCGAUAAAACUCCAUGACCAAAAAGCAA
rnacentral:lncRNA from 1 species